rnacentral:rRNA from 1 species
UACAGCGGUCUCAAGCGUUGUUCGGAUUCAUUGGGCGUAAAGGGUGCGUAGGCGGCGGUGCAAGUCCGAUGUGAAAUACCGGGGCUCAACCCCGGAACUGCAUUGGAUACUGCAUUGCUAGAGUACUGGAGAGGGAACUGGAAUUUACGGUGUAGCAGUGAAAUGCGUAGAGAUCGUAAGGAAGACCAGUGGCGAAGGCGAGUUCCUGGACAGUUACUGACGCUGAGGCACGAAGGCCAGGGGAGCAAACGGG